CCUCAGCCACAGUCUUCUGCCAUUUUGUUCUGCCUCACCUUGAGCCCCAAGGAAUGAAGCCAGCUGUCUGUGGAUGGAGACCUCUGAAACUGGAUUAAACCUAGGGGCACCUAACCACCGAGUCAGAACCACUGUCCUUUUGAGAUGGUCUCACCAAGUUGUACAGGACCUCACUAAAUUGCUGAGGCCAGCUUUGAACCUGCCUCAGCCUCCCGAGUCGCUGGGAUUACAGAGCUCCUGAAUGCCUGUCCCCACCCAGAGCUUUCCCUGAUGAUUGAAAACAGCUAAACCAACAAAUGGCAUUAUCUCUUCUGAAUGGACUCAGUUUAUCACCUGGACAAGCCCAGAAAUUUUAGUGCUGAGCUUCUCUUUGUUGUAGCAACAGGUGC